rnacentral:rRNA from 1 species
GAUGAACGCUGGCGGCGUGCCUCAAACAUGCAAGUCGAGCGGGGCUAUGUAAUAUCGCAAGGUAGAACAUAGCCUAGCGGCGAACGGGUGAGUAACACGUGGGUAACCUGCCUGGAAGACAGGGAUAACGAUUCGAAAGGGUCGCUAAUACCUGAUAAUAUCCUUUCAUCGCAUGGUGAUAGGAAGAAAGGGGAAACCCGCUUUCAGAUGGGCCCGCGUCCCAUCAGCUAGUUGGUAAGGUAAAGGCUUACCAAGGCGACGACGGGUAGCCGGUCUGAGAGGAUGUACGGCCACACUGGGACUGAGAUACGGCCCAGACUCCUACGGGAGGCAGCAGUUGGGAAUCUUAGGCAAUGGACGAAAGUCUGACCUAGCGACGCCGCGUGGAGGAAGAAGUCCUUCGGGGCGUAAACUCCUGGACUGGGGGACGAGGGAAGGGACGGUACCCGACGUAGAAAGGGACGGCGUAACUACGUG